UCUGCUGAUCACUGGCCAUAAGUGUCUCAUUGAAAGGAAAAUAAUCUUUCUAAUCCCUUUACGGUGCGUCAUUUCUCUCUCAUCGCACACAAACUUGCAAACACGUCCGUGGGGAAUACUGGGAAUCUGAGGCUGUUCAAGUAUCUUAUAUUCUAGUCAAAGUUUUCAUUGAUACCAGACCUCUGUAAACCAGUGAAUUGCAUGGCACCUGUUUUCACUGGGCUUCAUGAAUACCUGCGUCCACUGGACCUGUAACAACCUGGAUUUCAUUGUGCUCAUUUGCAUGACACCAGCCCGCUGUGAUUAGCCCUGUGAUAAUGGGACUGGGGCACCUUGCCAUACCAUGCUCUUCAUGCACAGCUCUGGUUGCUGGUGGGCAGGAUGGAACCUGGGAUCUCAAUGCAUAAGCCACAGGGCUCUUAGCCCACACUGUAGCAGGCUCUCCAAUCUCGAGGUGCCACAGCCAGCAGGCCUGGGUUACAGGAGCAGUUAACUCUUGGGAGCCACCUAUGUAAACAGACUGUAUCUCAUCUGUUGGACAAUCCAGCCUCCCUUUCAUCAGCGGGGCCAGCGACUUGAGAAACUACAGGGAGCAGAAAA